AAACUUUCAACAAUGAAUCUCUUGGCUCUUGCAUUGAUGAAGAACGCAGCGAAAUGCGAUAGGUAAUAUGAAUUGCAGAAUUCCGUGAAUCAUCAAAUUUUUGAACGCAAAUUGCACUUCUUGGUAUUCCGAGAAGUACACAUGCUUGAGGGUCAGU
rnacentral:rRNA from 1 species